rnacentral:rRNA from 1 species
UGGGGAAUCUUGCACAAUGGGGGCAACCCUGAUGCAGCGACGCCGCGUGAGCGAUGAAGCCCUUCGGGGCGUAAAGCUCUUUCGACCGGAACGAUAAUGACGGUACCGGGAGAAGAAGCUGCGGCUAACUACGUGCCAGCAGCCGCGGUAAUACGUAGGCAGCAAGCGUUGUUCGGAGUUACUGGGCGUAAAGAGUGCGUAGGCGGUUUUCUAAGUUCGGUGUGAAAUCUCCCGGCUUAACUGGGAGGGUGCGCCGAAGACUGGGAAGCUGGAGUGUGGGAAAGGCAGGCGGAAUUCCUGGUGUAGCGGUAAAAUGCGUAGAUAUCAGGAGUAACACCGGCGGUGUAGACGGCUUGCUAGACCAUAACUGACGCUGAGGCACGAAAGCGUGGGUAGCAAACA